rnacentral:lncRNA from 1 species
GUGGAGGGAGGGAGAGGGCUUUGAGUCUGGGAGAAGUGGAGAAACCAAACCACAGCAAGGUGCUGCCAGAGGCAUGGAAUAACAGAGCUGCAAAUAGAUCAUCUUUAUGUAUUAAUCUCAGAUUUUGUGAGUGAGAAUGUUAGAUACCAGAUGAUAUCCAGAUGUAAGCAGAUGAUAUUGUUCUGGCAUGAACUGUACGCCUUGAUUGAACAGUGGAAAGACGUGUUUUUGUAACAGCAAAUAAAUUGCAUACAGCAGGCUGUAUGCAAUUCUGUUCUACCUUGUAAUGUUAUUUUCACUUAAAUUGAGCAUCAUUAUGAAAACAUGCAUCCUUAUAAACAUAAUGCUUAUCUUUGUGCUCUCGGUUCCCAAAUUCUUGUUCAAUUUGGGACAAACUAAAGAUCCAAAGUCAUCUUGUUUCCCUGACCUGUUAGCUGCUGCUGUGCAAAGCUCACCUUUACUGAAGGUCUUCAUUUUCUUUAGACAAAGCAGUUUGCAUUUGGUAUGUGUAACAUGAUAGAGUAUCAUAGGAACCAGAUAACAUGUUCCAGAGUAUGAGUGCAGCUUUUGUUUUGAAAGGUUCAAAAGGGCUUUGCAUAAAGGUGAUCUGCAAAGGGAAAAACUUCUUUUAUGGAAGAAGGAUAAGUUGAACUGUUGUAAGGUCAAAUAAUAUAGCUAAGCAUUUAGAUAGAUAUAUAAAGAAACAUUGUAAGAGCACUUUGCAACCAAGGAUAACCUCUGGCUUAUGCAGCUUGCACCAUGACCAUGCAGAACUUGUUUAAUGGUUGGAGUACAAGAGAAGCUCGUUGUGUAGACAGAGCUGUAUGGAAAUGUUCUAAGCAAACAUGGGGAGAGGGAGCUUUUGCCUUGCACAGGAGCACACUCAAAGCAGUAGCUUAGAGUAAAAUUUACAGUGUUGUGAAUAGCUCAGUAGCAUUAUGCAAUAGUACUGGGAAAAGCAUAAGCAAAUCCUGAGUUUCCCGGUGCUGAAGUAGCAGAAUGCACUUCAUUGGGCAUAAACAUACGAGGAGGAUUAAUUCAAAACAAGAUUGUCUAAGUGGUGCUUAUCACUGUAUAUCCAAAAUACUGUUAUAGGAAGUUACCAAACUGAAGGCAGUCUCGCCUCAGUAAUCAGUGCUCCACUGGACUGAAAUCCAUAAUCUGUAAUCAUAUCGGUGCUGCAGUUCUUCUCAUGCCUUAUCAUUGAUACCUGUGCUGCUGUGGAGUACAUUUUAGGCAGUUUAAGUGGCUUCUGACAGUUAAUGAUUGGCUUAUGCUCUGAAAGCAAUAUAGCUUGAUUAUUUACAUCUCAUACAAAAUAAUGAGGGCUGUAAUAAAAUGUUUCUGCUAGUCUCUUAAUUAUCUUGAUGUAAUCCAUUCCAGCUCCAGCCAUGCUCAUUUAUGAGGAUCCAUCGCGCAGAAGUCUGUCUAUGGAACUUUCCUAUAAAGCCUGUGGCAUUCCAGUUUGACUGUGGAAGCAAGUUUUCUUUUACAGAAACUGAUACUGGUGUGACGAAGGAGGACAGGUAGCUCUAGAGACUUCAGAGGUUGCAGAAUACAGCAGCUUUUCCCAGAAGUGUAUCAGAGUCUUGCUUCCAGUAAUGUCUGAACACUGUGGUUACGGAGAAAGGAUGAUCCGUUCCUGGGUCCUCUUGCCUGCAGUGCUGUGUGCCACCAAAGCAGUAGAUGAACUCUCGCUAUCGACUGGAAGCAAGUUCCAUUUGGCUGUAUGAGAACUGCCAAACAGAGCGACCUGAUGAUGGCUGUAAGCUGGGGAAGCUGUUCCUCAGGAGUGGUGGUGCCUUAUUGCCCCGUUCUUAGUCUCAGCAAGGAGUUAGGUAUCUCUUCUUACCGGGCUGCUCAUUAGCAGGUCUGUGUGCCUUACAGAAGGAAUUGGUAUCACACUGUCAUUUUGCUGCAGAGGGAGAAACUGAGGCAUAAUGGAGCAGAAAAAAACAUUGUGGUUGGUGCGUAGCAGUAAUAGUAGUGCCAGGCUGGAGAUUAAGCCAGCUCUGCUGAGAUUUUAUCCAAUACUUUCCAGUGGGUCAUAAAUGCAUAAAGUAAUCAGGCAAGGACUUUGUCAGAGCACAUCUGCUCCAGUGUUUCUGGUAAAAGUACAUCCGUUAUCCCAAUUAAAUCAUAUGGUCCGGCACUGAUGAUGUGUGAAGGUAAAGCCAUCAGUGGCCUGGCUGUGUCUUUCAGACAGACCAAGAAGAAUGUUGGGCAAGCUAAAUCCAUUUAAUUUCUGGUGCUGCCAAUGCUGGAUAUGGGUGUACGUGGAAGUGGAGCCUCAGGGAUUUCACUGGGGGCUCCAUGUGGACAAAAUGAUCUCUUUCACUCAAGGAAGCUUAUAAUAUCAAAACCACUGUAAGAAAAUGGUCUCUGUACAAAGCUUACCGAGAUGAAGGUUUUCCAAUGGCAUGUCAGUUAAAAUUCCCAAGAAGUGGUUUACCUGAGAUUAAUAAUGCAUUUGGAGGAGGUCUGUGAGAUAGCCUGCUGCUCCUGUCAAGUCUCCUGCCAGUCUCAGAAGGGAGGAGGUAAGUUGUAUUUUCCUCUUGCUGUUCUGCUUGCAUAAAAGUGACCUGGGAAAAUAAGAGUAAAAUAGUUCCUUCAAGCAGAUGAGGCAAGGAGAAAUUGGUUGACUGGGUCUAACUGCAAAAAGGAAAUGCAAACCCCUCAAUUCACCCUCAUGCUAAGGUGUUGUGGUUUUUUUUUGAAGAAUAAAAGGAGGUAGCAGAAUUCAUGCAAGGCUUUAUACGUUUGUUUUCUAUAACAGUGCUUUGUUUCCUUUUGGUCCUUCAAGUCCUUUUUCAGUACUGGAAAUAAGCAACCACAUAGAGCAGGAUUUUUCCCUGCUGCUGUGCAUGUGUAUGAACAGCUUCCAAAGGAGGCUUUUGUGGGGCAUCAGAUGGGUUUACCUUGGGCUCAAUGAGUCCUUCAGUUAGGUUUUAAUAUAUUAUUUUCCCUGUCAUUUCUGCUUAGAUAGUGACAUUGAAUGCUCUGAUGAUAUCAACCAACUAUGUGUUCCUUCACUGUCAAGUAUUUGGGAUGGAAAUUUAGCAGGCAGUUAGAUUAAAAUAAAAAUAUCCUGCUGGCAAGGAAAUAAAUUGAAUUAAGUCGGUGCUGCUCUGAAUGUUGGUAACUGUGGAUGAGUUUUCAUGGUUCAUUCUGAAGAGCUACCGAGGCACCCAACAGCUCAUAUAUUAAGGCUAAAUUACUGUUGUUAAAUUUAUUUCCCAAUUCUCUUUGGUAUUUAAAAAAUGCAUUAUCCCCACAUUGCAAAACUUGAAGAAGCUCUUUAUCCAUACCUCGGAACACAAGAAAUGGAAAAGCAGCAUCUAAAGCAAGAGAAGAUUGUCACAUGAACAACUGCACGUAAACCGGCGGUGAAUAAAAGAUGUUCCGUGCCAUCAGGGAGAGGGAAAUCUCCUCUUAGAGCUUCACAAGGGAAGUGUAGGGACCAAAGCCCUCGGGCUUUCUGUGGGGCUGAAUCAGAUCAUGAAAGAAGCUAUAAGUAGGUGAGCAGUCCCAAGGGGUGGCACUAAGCCACGUAGGAAGUCUCUUCUGUGCGGUAGUCUUUGAGGAACAGUCUCAGAGAUUGUUAAAUAUUGAAGGAAAUAUGAACUUCAAAAAGUGGGUUUUAAUUUAAAUAUCAUAAUAGUUGUCGUGUGUAAGAAGUAGAAAGCAUUGAGUUCAACUGUGCCGAAGGGAGGGCGAUGCCUGGCUACAACUCAUACUGAGCUCUGCCCCUUUCUGGGAGCUCGUAGGGCAGCCCAGAUCUUUCUUAGGGUAUGCCUUCUAUUGGAACACGAGUUCUUAGGGUGUGACUUUUCAAGCUGAGAUGUCUGCACAUGAAAGAAUUUGAGCUUUCAAAGAACUCCGGGCCUUUGCUUACCUCCUCUUGAAUUGUAGGGAUCUGAACUACUCGGAAAAGACGAAUUUACGCCGCUUUUCCAAAGGUGGGAUCUGGUUCCUUUGUUUGUACUGAAAGAUUGAUCAGAGCAGGUAAACAGACAUUUGGUGCGUAGCUGAUUAUGAGCUAUGGAAAAAUGGACAUCUUUUUUAGUUGUUCCUAAAAGAUCAGGCUUAGGAUUCAAAGCCGUAACGCAUUUAUUGUGGUAACGCAAACUGAAGUCAUGUGAAUCGAGAACCAUAAGGGUUCCAUUAGCACACAUGGAAAGUCGAGUUGGGUCUGUAAUAGCACUGACAGUAAGUCCCAUUCAGGAGCAUUACUUCUUAAAAAUUAAACAAACCUCUCAAGUGGCUUAACGUGUAGCUGACAGUGCCAGCACGCUUCAAUUUCCAUUCAACCUGAAGUUGCCACACUCUCCAUUCUAAAUGGAAAUAGUGUUCUGCUGAUGUCACUGGCAAGCCUCCUUUUCUCCCAGCAAAAAUGUUUGUGUUACAGUGACUUCUUGAUCCCUGAGAAUACGUUUGUCUUGGUGAUCUGCUUCAGAUGCAAAUUGCUAUACCAGUCAGCUUGUGGGAAGAUAAAACCUUUCUUUAUUUUUAGUUCUGUCCAUUUAAAUCCAACGUGCAGUGCUAGAUGUUGGAAUCAGCGUGGAUUCUUUCUGCUCGGAAGCCUCUGGGAAGAGAUGUCUCACCCCAGUGCUCAAAGGCUGCUUCUAAUUCUGUUGUUUUUUUAAUGUUUUCUUUAAGUGAUACCUAUGGAACGUGUUAGCCACCAAUUUGGGAAAUCUCCCUUGUAUCUCAGUCUUCUGUUUCUCUUGUUUCCUCCCCUGGCCUCAAAGCAGCAGCACAGCUGUGCCAGGAUACCCAGGACUGCUUUUCUGCGCCUCGUCCUUUCAGCCCCAUUGGAUGCUCAGCAGGAGCCGCUCAGUUCACACACGCAGUGCGUUCUGCCUUCCAAGAGCUUUCCAUCAGGCGAGAGGCUCUCUUCUUUUUGCCUGUUUCAAAUGUACCGUUCUACGUGUCCUACAAGAAGUCUUCACGCACCUCUCCAGGUAUUCAGGGAGAAGAAGUCCAUUUUUCUGUUGCCAUCAGACUCAGUGCUUCGUGCAGUGGUCCAUGAUGGGACCACUCAGGAAAAUACUCUUAGCUGUGGUUUCCAGCACAAGAAAUGUUGCAAAUCUGAGCUUAAAAAAAUCAAGUUUGGCUGCUGCACAACACUUUCUCAGUUGAUUCCUUAUUAUUUAACACUUCUCUGAAGUUCAAGUCUUUUUUUUUUUUUUUUUUUGUCUCCCCCCUUCAAUACAGCCUUCAUCCAAAAGACACUGCCAAAUGCUUUACAAGUAGUACAGAGAAAGAGAAAUUGUUUCUGGCACCUAUUGCAGUAGUCAGCAUUGAGCAUCCCGCUUACCCAGCUCACAAAGCACAGAGCCUUAUUUUGUUAGGAUGUACAAAUGCUUCUGCUAUCAAACAAGCAAAAGGACAGCCAGCCCACCUAACCUGCUACCAGCUAGCCACCAAGUUUAGGAGAAUGAGCAAUGCCUCCACUGGGGACUUCCCUGGCAGAUCCACGUCUGAACAGCCAGGGCUGGCUUCCAAGAACAUUAAAUUCCAGCUGCUUUUCCAUCCAAGGCAAGAUAGGUUAUGCAUAUUUGGUGCCUGGCUUAACGCUGCAAGGGACAUAAUUUUCAGUGGUAUAAUGGACCGCUUGAGCCUCUCUUGUCAACUGGGAGUUUGAGUAUGCAGCGCGUUUGGAAAUGCAGCCCAUCCUUACCCAGCAACUAGCAAGGGAGAAAUCCAGACCUGCCAGUCGCUAUUUCAGCCUGUGACUUCUGCUCGCCUUUGUCCCAUCCGAGCGCGGUAAGGCAGAGCUUGUGUGCUCUUCUGGAGUUGGCUCCGCGUCUGCAGCUGCACGUUGAAAGGUACCGCAGUGUUUUCAGAAACCCAAAAGGUAGCCAGUCUCCAGCUGGUAAAAUUGUCAUCGUUCAUCAACUGAUUGAACUGUGGAAAUUUACCCAAGUAGAGGAUCAGGUCCAGUGUACACAGCUGGGAACCGAGCUGAGCUCAGUAGCUAUCUGUGCUCAGUGCUAAGCACCGGCCAACUGGGUUGCGCACGACUUUCUGCUAGGUAGCAGUGUGUCGAUCAAUGUCCUCUUGUUCGCUUGGAUCCAUGUUGUCUCCCAUUGCUCUGUCCCUUCUCUGUUCUCCUUUUCCUUCUAACUAAGCAACGUCUUACGGGCAGCGAGAGGGCGAGCCACAAUAGAUGAAAACAGAUCUGUUUUUGUGAUGUUUCUGGGGAAAACGUUCCUGCCCUUACACUUGAACUUCUCUAAGAGUGGUUAUAUUUCAUUACGCAUCUUAUCCUUGUUUGUGAAACAAGCAUGAGCUGUGCUUGCUAUGAGUUCAGUAGAGAAAAGAAAUGGAUAUUUGGGGAAGAUUGUUCCUCACUUGACAGCAUUAUUGUAAGCAAGGAAAUUUAAAGGAGGUUUUGCUUAGGCCCUCUAUUUUUCUCUGACUUUGUGUUCGUAUUUUUUUCCUGAAGUUUGUCUCAAGGUCUGCAUGAAGACCCAAACCUCUAAAAUGCUUUAAAGUCGAUCUCUCUCUGCCCGCGUGUAUUCAGCUAGCGUGGUAAAAUGUUUUGUUUCUCUUUUUUCUUUCCAGAGUCUAUGAGAUCAUUCAAGUACGGAGACUUGGCAGCCUCCAUGUACGUACAAAGACGGCUGUUUGAAUUUCAGACUAAGUGUCGUUCUGGCUAAGGAUGAAUUAUUUGGUGUGUUACAUGAGGAUUUGCUGCUUUAUCUGGCCUGAAUAAGAGCUCCACCAGUGCAGACCUCCCUCACGAAAGCCACGGUGAUGUCACGUCCAGCAGCACAGGAGGGGAUCAGAGCGUGCUCCUACCCAUUCAGCACAGCCCCGAGAUUACUUUUAACCAAGGUCACUUCUGCAGUUCACUUGACAACAGCCUGGGCAGCGGCACACUACUGGCACAGCCUGCGGACUGCUAUAGGGAUGGGAGGACAAACAGUGACAAUUGUCUCCCGGAUUUACUGCGUCGAAGCUGUGCCGCGGCCACCUUCUGAUCAGAAGUGGGUAGAUAAAUCUGCUCCGUGUUCUGCAGUGACUGCCUGCUGCCCUGAAGGAAGCGUGUCAUGUCUGCAAGGAAGCGUUUCAACCUGCAGCCGUGGAGUACGAACAGCAUCAAUCACUCCUUUCCAACAAAGGUUGGGUUGUGCUGAGCCCUAAUCUUUUAAAUAAGACCUACUGUAACAUGCACAGAAUGUUUCCCAUGUUGGAUUCUACCUUACAAGCACUGAUUACGCCCACUGAUGCUUCAUGAGACAACCAAGCCAGAUUUGUGCCUCGAUUUGAAAAUACUCUGACACAAUAAAAGAAGACUUCUUAAUCUUUCA